UAAUACAGAGGGUGCGAGCGUUGUCCGGAAUCACUGGGCGUAAAGGGCGCGUAGGCGGGCGAUCAAGCGUGCGGUGAAAGCUCGGGGCUCAACUCCGAGUCGGCCGUGCGAACUGGUUGUCUAGAGUCUGGUAGAGGUCGAUGGAAUUCCGGGUGUAGCGGUGGAAUGCGUAGAGAUCCGGAAGAACACCGGUGGCGAAGGCGGUCGACUGGGCCAGUACUGACGCUGAUGCGCGACAGCGUGGGGAGCAAACAGGAUUAGAUACCCUGGUAGUCCACGCCGUAAACGAUGGGCACUAGAUCCUUGGGGGAGCGACCCCGUGAGGGUCGGCGCUAACGCAUUAAGUGCCCCGCCUGGGGAGUACGGCCGCAAGGCU
rnacentral:rRNA from 1 species